rnacentral:lncRNA from 11 species
UUCAAGUGGUGCCAAACCGCAUUCAUUCCUCAGUGUAGAUGCACCUUGAAGCCCACAUUUGGGGUCCAGAUUCAUGUGUUGUUUUGCAUUUCUAGAACGGGAAGCACGACGAGGCUUGGAUGGUGCUGAAGCAAGUUCAUGACACCAACAUGCGGGCCAAGGGACACCCCGAACGGGUCUUCUCGGUGACCCAUAUCAAGACGAUCAAGCAGGAGGACGAACUGGUCGAGAUCCAGUCCGACACGGGCGCUUUGCACCGGCGCUGGAUGGUCCGCUGCUUGAACCUUUCGCAACAGGUCUGGGCCAACAUCCACCAAUGCUUCGCUCCCGAAUACCGCCGGGUGACGCUGAUGAUGAUGGCCGUGUGGUUCACCAUGUCUUUCAGCUACUAUGGCUUGACCGUCUGGUUCCCCGACAUGAUCAAGCACCUCCAGAACAUCGAGUACGCCUCCCGGACAAAGGUCUUCAUCAACGAGACGGUGCGCCACAUCACGUUCAACUUCACCUUGGAGAACCAGAUCCACAGCCGCGGGGAGUACUUCAACGACAAGUGGGUCCCACCUUUCCUUGCCUACCCUAUUUCUUUGUUUUGUUCUACCUUCCCUUUUAUUGUGGGAUCUUAGAAUCAUAGAGUUGGAAGGGACCCCAAAGGUCAUCCAGUCCAACC